GGAGUUAGCCGGUGCUUCUUCUGUGAGUGAUGUCCUUCCUGCCGGCUAUUAACCCGCAGGCCUUCUUCCUCACUGAAAGUGCUUUACAACCCGAAGGCCUUCUUCACACACGCGGCAUGGCUGGAUCAGGGUUGCCCCCAUUGUCCAAUAUUCCCCACUGCUGCCUCCCGUAGGAGUCUGGGCCGUGUCUCAGUCCCAGUGUGGCUGAUCAUCCUCUCAGACCAGCUACGGAUCGUCGCCUUGGUGAGCCGUUACCUCACCAACCAGCUAAUCCGACAUAGGCUCAUCCGAUAGCGCGAGGCCCGAAGGUCCCCCGCUUUCCCCCGUAGGGCGUAUGCGGUAUUAGCCUGGGUUUCCCCCAGGUUAUCCCCCACUACCGGGCAGAUUCCUAUGCAUUACUCACCCGUCCGCCGCUCGCCACCAGGGAGCAAGCUCCCCGUGCUGCCGCUCGACUUGCAUGUGUUAGGCCUGCCGCCAGCGUUCAAUCUGAACCAAGAUCAAAUUCUGA
rnacentral:rRNA from 1 species